UACGGAGGGUGCGAGCGUUGUCCGGAAUCAUUGGGCGUAAAGGGCGCGUAGGUGGCCCGGUCAGUCCGUGGUGAAAGCGCGGGGCUCAACCCCGCGUCGGCCAUGGAUACUGCUGGGCUUGAGCACUGGUAGAGGCAGGCGGAAUUCCGGGUGUAGCGGUGGAAUGCGUAGAGAUCCGGAAGAACACCGGUGGCGAAGGCGGCCUGCUGGGCAGUGGCUGACACUGAGGCGCGACACGUGGGGAGCAAACAGG
rnacentral:rRNA from 1 species